UUUUAUGGGUGAGCAAAAAAAGUAGUUUCUUGAGAUGGAAUCUACUCCUGGUGAAGAUGCUGUGAA
rnacentral:pre_miRNA from 1 species